rnacentral:rRNA from 1 species
AAUUUUCGGCAAAGGGGGAAACCUUUACCGAUCAACGCCGCGUGAACGACGAAGUACUUCGGUAUGUAAAGUUCUUUUAUAAGGGAAGAAAAAUUAAAAAUUGACGGUACUAUAUGAAUACGCCCAGGCUAACUAUGUCCCCGCAGCCGCGGUAAUACAUAGGGGGCGAGCGUUAUCCGGAUUUACUGGGCGUAAAGGGUGCGUAGGUGGUUAUAAAAGUUUGUGGUGUAAGUGCAGUGCUUAACGCUGUGAAGCUAUGAAAACUAUAUAACUAGAGUGAGACAGAGGCAAGUGGAAUUCCAUGUGUAGCGGUAAAAUGCGUAAAUAUAUGGAGGAACGCCAGUGGCGAAGGCGGCUUGCUGGGUCUAUACUGCCACUGAUGCACGAAAGCGUGAGGAGCAAACAGG